rnacentral:rRNA from 1 species
AUUGAACGCUGGCGGCAGGCUUAACACAUGCAAGUCGAGCGAGCGGCGGAAGGGUGAGUAAUGUCUGGGAAACUGACUGAUGGAGGGGGAUAACUACUGGAAACGGUAUCUAAUACCGCAUACCAUCGGAUGUGCCCAGAUGGGAUUAGCUAUUCGGUGGGGUAAAGGCUCACCUAGGCGACGAUCCCUAGCUGGUCUGAGAGGAUGACCAGCCACACUGGAACUGAGAAACGGUCCAGACGCCUACGGGAGGAAGCAGUGGGGAAUAUUGCACAAUGGGCGCAAGCCUGAUGCAGCCAUGCCGCGUGUGUGAAGAAGGCCUUCGGGUUGUAAAGCACUUUCAGCGAGGAGGCGUUACUCGCAGAAGAAGCACCGGCUAACUCCGUGCCAGCAGCCGCGGUAAUUC